rnacentral:rRNA from 1 species
UUGGACCUCAGAUCAGGCAAGAUCACCCGCUGAGUUUAAGCAUAUCACUAAGCGGAGGAAAAGAAACUAACAAGGAUUUCCUUAGUAACGGCGAGCGAACCGGAAGUAGCCCAGCUU